GCGUGCCCUCAUCCGAACGGUUUCAUUUUUCCUCCCAACUUCUUCUCGGAUUCCUUCUGCCCGAGAUCCCCUUCCCUCUCCGACGACUCCUUCGUUCCGAUCACCGACGCCGAGCAUCCUUCCUCUCCCUCUCAAGGUGUGGAGCUUCGCCCCAUUCUCGCACGACCUCCUCUUCCCCGACGCCGCUGUCCAUCGAGCUUUCGCCCUGAUGUCGGCGACUCUCAUCACGCCGGUGUUGUCCAGCCCAUCGCCACCGGACCUUAUUCUCCGUCGAUCGCAUAGGUUGAUCAGUUUUCACUCAGAUCCCUGACCCCUCUCCGAUUGUCACUACGGCUCUCCCUCUAGCGGUGCCCUAGCGCCGUUACCUCCAUGUCAUCGUCGUCGCUAGAGGUCACGGGGUCAUGUCAGGGAUGUCGCUCCAUUACCUGUGCCCUAGUUCCAAACCCCUGCCGGCUCCUCUUCCUCCGAUCACCUUCAGCUGUCCUCUCGGAUCGCUGCCCCUUGCGCCAGUGAGUUUGGCCGGAAGAGGGAGUAUCGAGCACUCUACUGAUCCUACUAUCCUAGCAUUGUCUGCGAUUCUCUAAUCUCUUCUCUAGCUGACGGAGAGGAGCACAAAUUCACCCUAGCAACGAUUUUGGAGGUAGAAGAUUAGCAAGAUUACAGCCACCACGAUACCGUUCGCUGGAGUUUUCCUUCGCCCGAUCGUUCAUCACCUCCGACUAGUGGAGAGAAAGAGGUAAGGUGCUCUGGUUGUUCUGGAAAUUUGGUUGUUGUUUGGAUGUUGAUUUCUUGAUGUAAAAUACCGGAAAAAUGUCGGAUAACGAUAGGGGAAUUUUCCAUAAAUUUUAGGAAUUUUCUGGGAAUUUUUCGGAGCACGUACGCCGGGUUUUGAGGGGACGAAUUUAUGGGUACGAAUAAAGCCUGUUUAGGAUACCCGUUUAAGUGAGGAAAAGUUUUAUUAUAAAUACAUUUUCCUUGUUUUUCUUAUUUCCCCUAAACGCUUUUUCCGUUCCCCAAACCCGCGCCCCCUUUUUCCUCACCGAUCCGUGCCCUACGAGCACCGCCGCCGGUCAACCGACGCCACCAACGCUUGUGACGGUUCCUCUCCUCCCCUCCGGUACGAAAAGGAGUGGCCAAAGGAAGCCCUAGCGAUUUUCCCCACUGCCACUUCCCCUCUUCCUCUCUUUUGCCGACGUCGACUUCACAACCGACACCAACUCCGAUCGCCUCCUUCUCUCUCUCUUUGCGGACACCAGGGCCCGCCCGAAAACGAGCGUUCAAGCCCUUUUUGGCUGUGCCCUAGUCUGAAGCCGCCGUCGUCAUACCGGUUGCCGCUAUCUGUGAGCCUAGCCCCGGAUGACACGGUUAUCCCUCCUCUUUUUCUUACUGCCGUCGCCCAAGAAACAUUCCGCGUCGCCUGAGAACAGCAACGUGAAGUAAUUCACGUUGGGUUUCUGUCCGGGAAGAAAGUUGCUGAUUGGAAUGUGAAGCCACUCAAGAAGCUGAUUCAAUAUUUAUGAUCAUGUUGUUGACCAAGCAUCAAUACAUUGGAGAGCAGUUGUUGGUCCACCAAGUUGAACGUUAUUGAUUGGGUGGUUCUUCUAAGCAACCAAGCUGUGGUUCUAUUCUGGCCAAAAGAGGGAUGUGCUGCUCCUACUUCUUCGAUUGUGGAUCAACAUGUAGUGUUUUGGUGUUGAGGACAUUGAUUCGGGACAAGCACUUCGACAUUUCGAUUUAUUAGCUCGAUCUACAUCGGAGGCGGGUACCUCUUCACUUAUCUUUUAUGAUAUUGUCAUUGGAUAUGCAUAGUAUUUUAUAACUACAAGCAAUGAAUAUGUUCGUCUUUGGUAUGUCACUGUUUGAUAUCCAUAGCAUGUUAGGUUUGUCGCUUGUUAUGUAUUCGUGCUUAUAUCUCAUGAAUUGUUACCAUGAGUAUCUUAUUGCCAUGAGUACUCUAUUACCAUGAGUAUCUUAGUUUCUAGAGUGACAUACCAUGCUCUACUGAGGUUAGGACUAGGUUAUGGAUUUUUGUUU